GGAAGGAUGGUAGAGUGGUCGAUUACACCGGUCUUGAAAACCGGCGCACGGAGACGUGCCGGGGGUUCGAAUCCCUCUCCUUCCG
rnacentral:tRNA from 1 species